rnacentral:rRNA from 1 species
UCACCCGUGCCGCCGCUAGACGACGAGGACCUCCUCCAGGAGAUCCUCCUCCGCCUCCCUCCACUCCCAUCCUCGUUUCCCCGUGCAUCCGUUGUAUGCAAGCGCUGGCACAAAAUCCUCUCUGGCCCAUGGUUCAUGUACCGCUUCCGCAAACACCACCGGAAACCGCCGCUCAUUGGCUUCUUUGACAAAGAAGUUGGUCGAGCCCCCAUCUUCACUCCAAUGCUGGACCCACCAAACAGCAUCCCUGUCAUCUUUGCCCGGCCAGAGAACCUCCUCAAUUGUACUACAUGGGCCAACCUGGUCAUACAUGUCUCAUUCUCCUUCUUUGGCUGCCGACAUGGCAUUGCACUCUUCCUUGACCGCCUGCGCCAUGAGGCUGUCUUGUGGGACCCCUACACCAACUUCCAGUGCCGUGUAGCUUAUCCACCGGGUUUCGACAAUCCACAAAAUCAACAAGAUAACAUCAUCAGGAGCGCUGCGGUGCUGUGCUCUACCGGCGACGAGCAGCAUGUGCAUGGUGAUUGCCACCUGAGCCCAUUCAAACUGUUAUUGGCAUGCCAUGACGCUAAAUGCACAAAGGCGUUUGUUUGCAUCUAUGAAUCCAAGUCUGGCGUAUGGGAAGAUAGUAUCUCCAUAGUGACUACAGAUGUGAUUUCUAGAAAUAGGCCUAGCAUAUUAGUUAGAAAUGCACUUUGCUGGUUGUCAUGAAGCGGUAUUCUUGAGUUUGAUUUUAAAAUGCUGACUCUUGAUGUGAUUGAGAAGCCUGCCAGUGUCGAUGUUACUAAUACUUUUGGCGUCGACUGGUCCUUUCAGAUCAUAAGAGGAGAGGAUAAUGGCCUCGGCCUUGCUGUUUUGCCAAAGCCAGAACUAAGCAUUCUGUUAUGGGCAAGGAAAUCCGACUGUGAUGGUGUUGUCUCAUGGGUGCUACAGAAAACCGUCCAACUGGAUGAGCUCUUUACACGACCCUUACGUUUAGGCAUGGCAAAAAUUUGUCCUGGGUAUGAUGAAGACACAAAUGUGAUCUUUUUAUCUUCGGUUUCACAUGACUUCAUUCUCCAACUUGAGUCGAUGAAGUUCAAAUAUAUUGGUAGAAGAGAUUACCAGAGUUCUAGAAUCUAUUAUCCUUAUGCAAAUUUCUAUACUGGAGGUAAUAUCUCGUCUCUUGUAGGUGGUGCCUGA